rnacentral:rRNA from 1 species
GACGAACGCUGGCGGCGUGCUUAACACAUGCAAGUCGAACGGAAAGGCCCUGCUUUUGUGGGGUGCUCGAGUGGCGAACGGGUGAGUAACACGUGAGUAACCUGCCCUUGACUUUGGGAUAACUUCAGGAAACUGGGGCUAAUACCGGAUAGGAGCUCCUGCUGCAUGGUGGGGGUGGGAAAGUUUCGGUGGUUGGGGAUGGACUCGCGGCUUAUCAGCUUGUUGGUGGGGUAGUGGCUUACCAAGGCCUUGACGGGUAGCCGGCCUGAGAGGGUGACCGGACACAUUGGGACUGAGAUAAGGCCCAGCCUACUACGGGAGGCAGGAGAGGGGAAGAUUGCAUAAUGGGAGGAAGCAUGAUGCAGCCAAGCAGCGUGCGGGAUGACGGGCUUCGGGUUGUAAACCGAUUUCGCCUGUGACGAAGCGUGAGUGACGGUACUGGGUAAAGAAGCACCGGCUAACUACGUG